rnacentral:tRNA from 1 species
CAAGUUAGAGCUUAAAGCAUUUUAUUUACAUUAAAAAGUUAAUUGUUAGUCAAUUUAACUUGA